GGAGUUAAUCUGGAGCGUCAGGUAGAUGCAACGUGAGCGUACAGGAGCAAACACAGUUAAUAUAAAACCAUGAAUGUGUAAAUGACAAACAGAGAUUUAGAGUAACGUGUUUAAGCAGAUAACUGUUGGUUGAAAGCGGCAGUUGACGCAGUUUCUGGUUAGUUUCAUCGCUGCUCAGUGCAACAGGUGGCAUGAAUCACACCAGCAGCCUCAGAUUUACUGUAAACUCACUCACUAAAAACUUUUUUAGUUAAUUAAGUCAAGUUUGCAGCAAGUUAAUUGUCAUUUUGUGCUGUUACAUGUUCAGUAUGUUGCCUCUAGUUGAGUUUAACGGCUAUUAACGGCUAUUUAACGGCUCAGAACGCUCCCAGCAGAUAUGUGUAUUGUCAGUUAACGUCAGUUACUCACCAGCAGCAGCGUCGUAGUUGUCUCUCUCGAGAGAGAGCAGGAGAGUUUCCUCCGGGCCGCUCCGCCUCCUGAACCCGCCCACCCACUCACCACCACUCACCCUACAACAACCAGCCGGCUGCUCCAGGACCAGUUCUCACUACACCAGUUCUCCCUGUCUGGAGCCUGGGCAGCACUUCUAUGGGCAGGACGGGUGUCCCAGGCCCGGCUCGGUUUGGACCGACCAGGCUCGGUUCAGCUCAGCUCAGCUCACCUCAGCUCAGCGGGAGUCUGGAGAGGCUCUGAAAGCACAGCAAAGACUUUUGUCUUUUUAGGACAGCUGAAGAAGUUUUCCAUAUCACAAGAAGGUGUGAUGCAAUUGUAUCAUGCUGGUAUUGAGAGCAUCCUCAUCUUCUUAACUGUGCAUGUGUGCAGCACCUCAGCACAAGACAAGAAACGCCUGGACAAUGUGGUGCAAACUGCAUCAAAAAUCAUAAGCCAGGUGCUUCCAUCCCUCUUUCUAACUUAAAUUUGAUUAGAUUCCUCAUAUACUUACAGGUACAUACAUGAAAUUUGACAUCUGCAUUUGACCCAUCCUAAGCAUUUAGAAGCAUUGGGCCCGUGGGGCAAUUUUGGGUUCAUUGUCUUGCUCAAGAACACUUUGACAUGCAAACAGUAGGAGCUGGGGAUCACGUACACCAACUUUGAGGUUACCACUGAGCUGCAGCCGCCCUAGACUGAAAAUGAUCAGAACUGAGUUCAACAACAGCUUACCAGAGGCCGUUUGCGUCCUUGACUCCAAAAUGACCAAUGCGCUGUUAUUAUUCUUAUCCAAAAGACACUGUAAUUGUAUCACGGACAGAUUAUGAGACAAUGGGCCCCUCCACCUCUCCUACAUAGGAGCAAGACAUCCAGACUGAAAGACAUGCGUCUUUUUGUGACUUUUUCAGUGACAUUUUGCAGAUGAACCAGAACUCUCAGGUACUGCUGUUGGUUCGAAAAAACUGCACCUGAACUAGUUAUUAGUUCACACUGGAGAUGGAGAGAGGCUGUGUGACUUGUGCAACAACAAAUCCACAUUGACACUCAUCUGCACAAAUAUUAUACUAAAUGUAACAGCUCAGUCAAAAUAUAAUAGGAAACCAUCAAAGAAAGCUUGAGAUGCAGGUUCUACUUUCCAAGAGCAUAGCUGUUUGACUGCAUCAGCAUGCUACGCAGCUGUACUAUGAAGGAAGAAAAUGUAAUGUAAUUAAUUUUUUAAUAAUUUUGCAGUAAUUUUCAAGACGUUCCAUGGAAAGAACUUUGUAAUUUGAUACAAAUUAUAGGAAUGUCCUUUAAAGAAAAGCUCAUUUUAAACUCAUAUAAUUGUGGAAAGAAGAAAAGAAGCAUGUUUAGUGCAGCAUGCAUCCUGAGAGUAGCAGAGAGGCGGAUGAUCUUACUGUUCAGAGCAGGAGGAGGAGCAGGCUCUUUGGUCGGGCUUCAAGGAUGCGAGCCAAGGACUCUGUCAUGACAGGAAGUCAGCCUUCAGACAUGGUGGUCCAACUCCUACAGAAAACAUGCACACCCACCAGCAGCAGCAGCAGCCCAUCACACUCACACAUUCUGCUUCUCCCUGCAGAGAGUAUUGAAAGAUGACAUGUCAUGAUUUACGUUGCAUCACGUUCCGUCAGCAGUUUUCCUCCGAGUGUCACCUCAGUGUCAGAAAACGGAAUCAGACCUCUCAGGAGGUGAUGAGUGCUCUCAUGCACGCAUCUGCAUGAGGAUAAUUUUGUGCAGAUGUAACGGGGGUCUGAGAUUCAUUUACAGCACAACAGUCCUCCAGGUUUAGAGCAGCAUUUCAUCAACACUUUUGGCAUUUAUUAACUUCAGUCAAAGCACAAGUAGCAGAUUGAGAGCUGCAGUCGACUGAAAGCCACUUCUACCAAAAACAUUUAUUAAGCAACGCAGUUUAGCAUAGUGAGUAUAGUUUAGUUUAGUUUAGUUUAGGUUUGUUUUUUGCAUAAUGUCUGCAUCAACUUCAUGUAGUUUCAGCUCAUCUAUUUGUUGUUAUUUAAUGUUUUUUACAUUAUGCAUGUCAAA